rnacentral:rRNA from 1 species
GACGAACGCUGGCGGCGUGCUUAACACAUGCAAGUCGAACGGAAAGGCCCUGCUUUUGUGGGGUGCUCGAGUGGCGAACGGGUGAGUAACACGUGAGUCACCUGCCCUUGACUUUGGGAUAACUUCAGGAAACUGGGGCUAAUACCGGAUAGGAGCUCCUGCUGCAUGGUGGGGGUUGGAAAGUUUCGGCGGUUGGGGAUGGACUCGCGGCUUAUCAGCUUGUUGGUGGGGUAGUGGCUUACCAAGGCUUUGACGGGUAGCCGGCCUGAGAGGGUGACCGGCGACAUUGGGACUGAGAGACGGCCCAGACGCCUACGGGAGGCAGCAGUGGGGAAUAUUGCACAAUGGGCGGAAGCCUGAGGCAGCAACGCCGCGUGCGGGAUGACGGCCUUCGGGUGGUAAACCGCAGUCGCCUGUGACGAAGCGUGAGUGACGGUAAUGGGUAACGAAGCACCGGCUAACUACGUG